AAGAGACAGCAGCCGCCGCGGGAAUACGGAGGGUGCAAGCGUUAAUCGGAAUUACUGGGCGUAAAGCGCACGCAGGCGGUUUGUUAAGUCAGAUGUGAAAUCCCUGAGCUUAACUUGGGAACUGCAUUUGAAACUGGCAAGCUAGAGUCUUGUAGAGGGGGGUAGAAUUCCAGGUGUAGCGGUGAAAUGCGUAGAGAUCUGGAGGAAUACCGGUGGCGAAGGCGGCCCCCUGGACAAAGACUGACGCUCAGGUGCGAAAGCGUGGGGAGCAAACAGGAUUAGAUACCCCUGUAGUCCCUGUCUCUUAUAC
rnacentral:rRNA from 1 species